rnacentral:rRNA from 1 species
UGCUUGGUGGAUCAGUGGCGAACGGGUGAGUAACACGUGAGCAACCUGCCCUGGACUCUGGGAUAAGCGCUGGAAACGGCGUCUAAUACUGGAUAUGAGACGUGAUCGCAUGGUCGUGUUUGGAAAGAUUUUUCGGUCUGGGAUGGGCUCGCGGCCUAUCAGCUUGUUGGUGAGGUAAUGGCUCACCAAGGCGUCGACGGGUAGCCGGCCUGAGAGGGUGACCGGCCACACUGGGACUGAGACACGGCCCAGACUCCUACGGGAGGCAGCAGUGGGGAAUAUUGCACAAUGGGCGGAAGCCUGAUGCAGCAACGCCGCGUGAGGGAUGACGGCCUUCGGGUUGUAAACCUCUUUUAGCAGGGAAGAAGCGAAAGUGACGGUACCUGCAGAAAAAGCGCCGGCUAACUACGUGCCAGCAGCCGCGGUAAUACGUAGGGCGCAAGCGUUAUCCGGAAUUAUUGGGCGUAAAGAGCUCGUAGGCGGUUUGUCGCGUCUGCUGUGAAAUCCCGAGGCUCAACCUCGGGCCUGCAGUGGGUACGGGCAGACUAGAGUGCGGUAGGGGAGAUUGGAAUUCCUGGUGUAGCGGUGGAAUGCGCAGAUAUCAGGAGGAACACCGAUGGCGAAGGCAGAUCUCUGGGCCGUAACUGACGCUGAGGAGCGAAAGGGUGGGGAGCAAACAGGCUUAGAUACCCUGGUAGUCCACCCCGUAAACGUUGGGAACUAGUUGUGGGGACCAUUCCACGGUUUCCGUGACGCAGCUAACGCAUUAAGUUCCCCGCCUGGGGAGUACGGCCGCAAGGCUAAAACUCAAAGGAAUUGACGGGGACCCGCACAAGCGGCGGAGCAUGCGGAUUAAUUCGAUGCAACGCGAAGAACCUUACCAAGGCUUGACAUAUACGAGAACGGGCCAGAAAUGGUCAACUCUUUGGACACUCGUAAACAGGUGGUGCAUGGUUGUCGUCAGCUCGUGUCGUGAGAUGUUGGGUUAAGUCCCGCAACGAGCGCAACCCUCGUUCUAUGUUGCCAGCACGUAAUGGUGGGAACUCAUGGGAUACUGCCGGGGUCAACUCGGAGGAAGGUGGGGAUGACGUCAAAUCAUCAUGCCCCUUAUGUCUUGGGCUUCACGCAUGCUACAAUGGCCGGUACAAAGGGCUGCAAUACCGUGAGGUGGAGCGAAUCCCAAAAAGCCGGUCCCAGUUCGGAUUGAGGU